GAUGAACGCUAGCGGCAGGCUUAAUACGUGCAAGUCGAGGGGCAGCAUGACUGUAGCAAUACAGUUGAUGGCGACCGGCAAACGGGUGCGGAACACGUACAGAACCUUCCUUCGAGCGGGGAAUAGCCCAGAGAAAUUUGGAUUAAUACCCCAUAGUAUAUUGGAGUGGCAUCACUUUGAUAUUAAAGAUUUAUCACUUGAAGAUGGCUGUGCGGCUGAUUAGAUAGUUGGCGGGGUAACGGCCCACCAAGUCUGCGAUCAGUAACUGGUGUGAGAGCACGACCAGUCACACGGGCACUGAGACACGGGCCCGACUCCUACGGGAGGCAGCAGUAAGGAAUAUUGGUCAAUGGACGAAAGUCUGAACCAGCCAUGCCGCGUGGAGGAUGAAGGCCCUCUGGGUUGUAAACUUCUUUUAUCUGGGACGAAAAAGGACCUUUCUAGGUCAACUGACGGUACCAGAGGAAUAAGCACCGGCUAACUCCGUGCCAGCCGCCGCAGUAACAC
rnacentral:rRNA from 1 species